GUCCGAGUGGCGGAAUGGCAGACGCGCUAGGUUGAGGGCCUAGUGGGGGCAACCCCAUGCGAGUUCGACUCUCGCCUCGGACACCA
rnacentral:tRNA from 1 species